GAUGAACGCUAGCGGCAGGCCUAAUACAUGCAAGUCGAACGGGAUUCCAGUGUAGCUUGCUAUACUGGAUGAGAGUGGCGCACGGGUGCGUAACGCGUGAGCAACCUACCCAUAUCAGGGGGAUAGCCCGGAGAAACCCGGAUUAAUACCGCAUAAGAUUACCAGAACGGCAUCGUUCAGUGAUCAAAUAUUUAUAGGAUAUGGAUGGGCUCGCGUGACAUUAGCUAGUUGGUAAGGUAACGGCUUACCAAGGCAACGAUGUCUAGGGGCUCUGAGAGGAGAAUCCCCCACACUGGUACUGAGACACGGACCAG
rnacentral:rRNA from 1 species